rnacentral:rRNA from 1 species
CCUACGGGGGGCAGCAGUGGGGAAUAUUGCACAAUGGGCGCAAGCCUGAUACAGCCAUGCCGCGUGUGUGAAGAAGGCCUUCGGGUUGUAAAGCACUUUCAGCGGGGAGGAAGGCGUAAGGUUAAUAACCUUGUCGAUUGACGUUACCCGCAGAAGAAGCACCGGCUAACUCCGUGCCAGCAGCCGCGGUAAUACGGAGGGUGCAAGCGUUAAUCGGAAUUACUGGGCGUAAAGCGCACGCAGGCGGUCUGUCAAGUCGGAUGUGAAAUCCCCGGGCUCAACCUGGGGACUGCAUUCGAAACUGGCAGGCUAGAGUCUUGUAGAGGGGGGUAGAAUUCCAGGUGUAGCGGUGAAAUGCGUAGAGAUCUGGAGGAAUACCGGUGGCGAAGGCGGCCCCCUGGACAAAGACUGACGCUCAGGUGCGAAAGCGUGGGAAGCAAACAGGAUUAGAUACCCUUGUAGUC